CUUCUUACCUUCUUCUUUUUCCCACUCAACACAGCGAUUGGCAAGCACCUGGAAAGCUGCCCAGGCCAUUGUGGCCACUUUCUGCUUCUUAGUUUGCUUCUCACUGGAGCUAGAUUCCGUCUGACUGCUCAAGCUACAGAGUCGAUCCAUGAGCUGAACGAGGCCACUGCGCACCAGGCACUUCUCUUCGCUCCUGAGCCAGACAGAACGGUAUGAGCUACUAGAAACAACUGACCUGGGUCCUCCCUGAAGGACCAUAGUCACUGGACCCACAAGGUGUGUCACGCCCCCGACACGCACAGCAGCCGUCAGCAAUUCCCGCAUGUGCACCAGUGCCUGCUUUCGAGUAUUUCCCCGCCGCCACCUCGUCUGUGCAGCCAGAAGAAAGCUGCUGCUGGACACCUGAAAGGCAUGAGAAGGAAGUCCACCUGACUCUUCGUGACUGUUCCAGGCCCCCGGUGCUGUUAGGUGCUAUUCGUCUGUAGUCAGCAAAACAUGACCUACAGCUUGGUCAGGGUCAGAAGGAGCCGACAUGCUGCGAAGAAAAACAGGCUGCCGCACAGCAUGAGAUAUCACCUUUGUUUCUGAAGCUGAUUUACAAGCUGGAACAGAAAAGAAUAAAAAGAUUGGCAUAUCUGCUGUCUGAUUUGUGAGGACAGCAACAACAGUUAUGCUACUACUCUAAGAGUAUCUUCGCUUUCUAGGAGAGUUCAUCUACGAAACUAGUGAGUACAGCACACUGAUGGUUUUUAGGCUAGAUAUUAGGGUAAAAAAAUGUUUAAACCUAGA